AAGAAACCAGAUUGGAAAUUUUUAUUCAGAAAUGCAAUCCACACAUUUAAGCACCGUUUGUCUAACGUACCAGCCAGCUAUGGUAGCCUCCGCAGAUAGAUCAAAGACACAUAUACCCGGGCAAGUUAAAUAGAAGCACUUCCGGCGGUGGACAGUCGUAAAACAACACCUUAACUACUAAGAAGUGACAUCACGCCGAUAGCAAUAAGGCUACGUCUACUUGAUUUGACUUACAGUGUCACUUGACCUCCUUGUAAGGGGCUCCGAUAAGUACGCAGAAGCAGACGAUAAUAAUACAAAGGUUAUACUUAACAAUCAGAUUAAAAAAAUGCAUGGGACAUGUUAAAACAUAGCAA